GACGUAGGAUGCGAGCGUUGUCCGGAUUUAUUGGGCGUAAAGAGUUCGUAGGUGGUUUGUUAAGUUUGGUGUCAAAGAUUGGGGCUCAACCCUGAAACUGCACUGAAUACUGGCAGACUCGAGUGUGGUAGAGGCUAGUGGAAUUCCCAGUGUAGCGGUGAAAUGCGUAGAUAUUGGGAAGAACACCGGUGGCGUAGGCGACUAGCUGGGCCAUAACUGACACUGAGGAACGAAAGCCAGGGGAGCGAAUGGG
rnacentral:rRNA from 1 species